GACUUAACAUGCUUAGCCCUAUCGGGUUACCGGUGGAGUGCUGAGUCGUGUUUGUCAUCCUUCCAGAAAAUGUUGUUGCGCUUCAUUGCGUUGAUAACACUAUCUGGAUCUUUUACUUUGAAAAAAUUAGAGUGUUUAAAGCAAGCUUUUGCUAUGAAUACAUUAGCAUGGAAUAAUAAUUUAGGACUUCGGUUCUAUUUUGUUGGUUUCUAGAACUGAAGUA
rnacentral:rRNA from 1 species